rnacentral:rRNA from 1 species
AAUAGAUACCCGGGUAGUCCACGCCGUAAACGAUGAGUGCUAAGUGUUAGAGGGUUUCCGCCCUUUAGUGCUGAAGUUAACGCAUUAAGCACUCCGCCUGGGGAGUACGGCCGCAAGGCUGAAACUCAAAGGAAUUGACGGGGGCCCGCACAAGCGGUGGAGCAUGUGGUUUAAUUCGAAGCAACGCGAAGAACCUUACCAGGUCUUGACAUCCUCUGACAACCCUAGAGAUAGGGCUUCUCCUUCGGGAGCAGAGUGACAGGUGGUGCAUGGUUGUCGUCAGCUCGUGUCGUGAGAUGUUGGGUUAAGUCCCGCAACGAGCGCAACCCUUGAUCUUAGUUGCCAUCAUUCAGUUGGGCACUCUAAGGUGACUGCCGGUGACAAACCGGAGGAAGGUGGGGAUGACGUCAAAUCAUCAUGCCCCUUAUGACCUGGGCUACACACGUGCUACAAUGGACGGUACAAAGAGCUGCAAGACCGCGAGGUGGAACUAAUCUCAUAAAACCGUUCUCAGUUCGGAUUGUAGGCUGCAAC